AGUGAACGCUGGCGGUAGGCCUAACACAUGCAAGUCGAACGGCAGCACAGGAGAGCUUGCUCUCUGGGUGGCGAGUGGCGGACGGGUGAGGAAUACAUCGGAAUCUACCUUUUCGUGGGGGAUAACGUAGGGGAAACUUACGCUAAUACCGCAUACGACCUACGGGUGAAAGUGGGGGACCGCAAGGCCUCACGCGAUUAGAUGAGCCGAUGUCCGAUUAGCUAGUUGGCGGGGUAAUGGCCCACCAAGGCGACGAUCGGUAGCUGGUCUGAGAGGAUGAUCAGCCACACUGGAACUGAGACACGGUCCAGACUCCUACGGGAGGCAGCAGUGGGGAAUAUUGGACAAUGGGCGCAAGCCUGAUCCAGCCAUACCGCGUGGGUGAAGAAGGCCUUCGGGUUGUAAAGCCCUUU
rnacentral:rRNA from 1 species